UAGGGAAUCUUCGGCAAUGGGGGGAACCCUGACCGAGCAACGCCGCGUGAGUGAAGAAGGUUUUCGGAUCGUAAAGCUCUGUUGUUAAGGAAGAACGAGUGUGAGAAUGGAAAGUUCAUGCUGUGACGGUACUUAACCAGAAAGGGACGGCUAACUACGUGCCAGCAGCCGCGGUAAUACGUAGGUCCCGAGCGUUGUCCGGAUUUAUUGGGCGUAAAGCGAGCGCAGGCGGUUAGAAAAGUCUGAAGUGAAAGGCAGUGGCUCAACCAUUGUAGGCUUUGGAAACUGUUUAACUUGAGUGCAGAAGGGGAGAGUGGAAUUCCAUGUGUAGCGGUGAAAUGCGUAGAGAUUAGGAGGAACACCGGUGGCGAAAGCGGCUUUUUGGCCUGCAACUGACACUGAGGCGCGAAAGCGUGGGGAGCAAACAGG
rnacentral:rRNA from 1 species